AUUGAACGCUGGCGGCAGGCCUAACACAUGCAAGUCGAACGAGUGGCGGACGGGUGAGUAAUGUCUGGGAAACUGCCUGAUGGAGGGGGAUAACUACUGGAAACGGUAGCUAAUACCGCAUACCAUCAGAUGUGCCCAGAUGGGAUUAGCUUGUUGGUGGGGUAACGGGUCACCAAGGCGACGAUCCCUAGCUGGUCUGAGAGGAUGACCAGCAACACUGGAACUGAUACACGGUUCAGACGCCGAAGGGAGGCAGCAGUGGGGAAUAUUGUACAAGGGGCGCAAGCCUGAUGCAGCCAUGCCGCGUGUAUGAAGAAGGCCUUCGGGUUGUAAAGUACUUUCGGCUGGGAGGCGUGACCCGCAGAAGAAGCACCGGCUAACUCCGUGCCAGGAGGCGCGGUAAUAC
rnacentral:rRNA from 1 species